rnacentral:rRNA from 1 species
AUUGAACGCUGGCGGCAGGCCUAACACAUGCAAGUCGAGCGAGCGGCGGACGGGUGAGUAAUGUAUGGGAAACUGCCUGAUGGAGGGGGAUAACUACUGGAAACGGUGGCUAAUACCGCAUACUAUCGGAUGAACCCAUAUGGGCUUAGCUAGUGGGUGGGGUGACGGCGCACCAAGGCGACGAUCCCUAGCUGGUCUGAGAGGAUGAUCAGCCACACUGGAACUGAGACACGGCCCAGACUCCUACGGGAGGCAGCAGUGGGGAAUAUUGCACAAUGGGCGCAAGCCUGAUACAGCCAUGCCGCGUGUAUGAAGAAGGCCUUCGGGUUGUAAAGUACUUUCAGCGGGGAGGCGUUACCCGCAGAAGAAGCACCGGCUAACUCCGUGCCAGCAGCCGCGGUAAUAC